GCUUCCGUAGCGCAGAGGUUAGCAUGUCCGCCUAUGACGCUGAAUGCCUGGGUUUGAAACCCGGCGAAACCA
rfam:Stomoxys calcitrans breed 8C7A2A5H3J4 unplaced genomic scaffold Scaffold1024, whole genome shotgun sequence.